rnacentral:rRNA from 1 species
AUUGAACGCUGGCGGCAGGCCUAACACAUGCAAGUCGAGCGGCAGCGGGAAAGUAGCUUGCUACUUUUGCCGGCGAGCGGCGGACGGGUGAGUAAUGCCUGGGAAAUUGCCCAGUCGAGGGGGAUAACAGUUGGAAACGACUGCUAAUACCGCAUACGCCCUACGGGGGGGGAAAGCAGGGGACCUUCGGGCCUUGCGCGAUUGGAUAUGCCCAGGUGGGAUUAGCUAGUUGGUGAGGUAAUGGCUCACCAAGGCGACGAUCCCUAGCUGGUCUGAGAGGAUGAUCAGCCACACUGGAACUGAGACACGGUCCAGACUCCUACGGGAGGCAGCAGUGGGGAAUAUUGCACAAUGGGGGAAACCCUGAUGCAGCCAUGCCGCGUGUGUGAAGAAGGCCUUCGGGUUGUAAAGCACUUUCAGCGAGGAGGAAAGGUUGUUGGCUAAUACCCAACAGCUGUGACGUUACUCGCAGAAGAAGCACCGGCUAACUCCGUG